UACGAAGGGGGGCUAGCGUUGCUCGGAAUCACUGGGCGUAAAGGGUGCGUAGGCGGGUCUUUUAAGUCAGGGGUGAAAUCCUGGAGCUCAACUCCAGAACUGCCUUUGAUACUGAAGAUCUUGAGUUCGGGAGAGGUGAGUGAACUGCGAGUGUAGAGGUGAAAUUCGUAGAUAUUCGCAAGAACACCAGUGGCGAAGGCGGCUCACUGGCCCGAUACUGACGCUGAGGCACGAAAGCGUGGGGAGCAAACAGG
rnacentral:rRNA from 1 species